UACGGGGGGGGCAAGCGUUGUUCGGAAUUACUGGGCGUAAAGGGCUCGUAGGCGGCCAACUAAGUCAGACGUGAAAUCCCUCGGCUUAACCGGGGAACUGCGUCUGAUACUGGUUGGCUUGAAUCCGGGAGAGGGAUGUGGAAUUCCAGGUGUAGCGGUGAAAUGCGUAGAUAUUGGGAGGAACACCAGUGGCGAAGGCGGCUCACUGGACCGGUACUGACGCUGAGGCGCGAAAGCGUGGGGAGCAAACGGG
rnacentral:rRNA from 1 species